rnacentral:rRNA from 1 species
UACGGAGGGGACUAGCGUUGUUCGGAAUUACUGGGCGUAAAGCGCACGUUAGGCGGAUUUGUAAGUCAGGGGUGAAAUCCCGGGGCUCAACCUCGGAACUGCCUUUGAUACUGCAAAUCUCGAGUCCGGAAGAGGUGAGUGGAAUUCCUAGUGUAGAGGUGAAAAUUCGUAGAUAUUAGGAAGAACACCAGUGGCGGAAGGCGGCUCACUGGUCCGGUACUGAC